rnacentral:rRNA from 1 species
AUUGAACGCUGGCGGCAUGCCUUACACAUGCAAGUCGAACGGCAGCACGGGUGCUUGCACCUGGUGGCGAGUGGCGAACGGGUGAGUAAUACACCGGAACGUACCUUAUCGUGGGGGAUAACGCAGCGAAAGCUGUGCUAAUACCGCAUACGCCCUGAGGGGGAAAGCGGGGGAUCGCAAGACCUCGCGCGAUUAGAGCGGCCGAUGCCUGAUUAGCUUGUUGGUGGGGUAAAAGCCCACCAAGGCGACGAUCAGUAGCUGGUCUGAGAGGACGAUCGGCCACACUGGGACUGAGACACGGCCCAGACUCCUACGGGAGGCAGCAGUGGGGAAUUUUGGACAAUGGGGGCAACCCUGAUCCAGCAAUGCCGCGUGAGUGAAGAAGGCCUUCGGGUUGUAAAGCUCUUUUGUCAGGGAAGAAACACCGGCUCUAACACAGUCCGGGAAUGACGGUACCUGAAGAAUAAGCACCGGCUAACUACGUGCCAGCCGCCGCAGUAA